CAUAAAGGGAAUCAACACAGUAAAGGAGGAGACUAUAUUUAAAAGAAGAAAAACUACCACAACAAGAGGACAUAGUCUUAAAUUAGAGGGGCAAAGGUUUAAAAAUAAUAUCAGGAAGUAUUACUUUACUCAGAGGGUAGUGGAUGCAUGGAAUAGCCUUCCAGCUGAAGUGGUAGAGGUUAACACAGUAAAGGAGUUUAAGCAUGCGUGGGAUAGGCAUAAGGCUAUCCUAACUAUAAGAUAAGGCCAGGGACUAAUGAAAGUAUUUAGAAAAUUGGGCAGAGUAGAUGGGCCGAAUGGUUCUUAUCUGCCGUCACAUUCUAUGUUUCUA